GGGGAGGGAAAUUGUUCACAGUUUCAGAAUUACUAUUCUAUGCCAGCUCUAUCUUCAGCUAGCGCUCCCGCUCCCAUAGCUAGGCUAGAGAAGUAGGGUAAGACUUCUAUGUCCAGAUCUCUGAAUAGUGUUAGUGGAAAACCCAGUUAUCUUCAAUGUGCUAAAUAUGGUAAGAAUCAUCUUGGUGAGUGCUUGUUAGGAUAGAAAGGUUGUU
rnacentral:lncRNA from 1 species